rnacentral:tRNA from 1 species
GCCGGAAUAGCUCAGUUGGUAGAGCAGAGGACUGAAAAUCCUCGUGUAC